rnacentral:ribozyme from 1 species
CUGAAGAGCAUUCGCUAGCUACGCAGCUUCUCUUACUUGCUCAUCACUUGCAUCUUAGUUCCCAUAAAGGAUGUUGUCUUUGAUGGAGACGUUGAAAAGUUGGGGUUCUUGCAUGACGAUGCUCACUUCCUUCCUCAAACUCUUCAAGUCAAUGU